rnacentral:snRNA from 1 species
UUGCACAUGGGUUAGUCGAUCC